UGGGGAAUAUUGCACAAUGGGCGCAAGCCUGAUGCAGCCAUGCCGCGUGUAUGAAGAAGGCCUUCGGGUUGUAAAGUACUUUCAGCGGGGAGGAAGGCGGUGAGGUUAAUAACCUCACCGAUUGACGUUACCGACAGAAGAAGCACCGGCUAACUCCGUGCCAGCAGCCGCGGUAAUACGGAGGGUGCAAGCGUUAAUCGGAAUUACUGGGCGUAAAGCGCACGCAGGCGGUUGAUUGAGUCAGAUGUGAAAUCCCCGGGCUUAACCCGGGAAUUGCAUCUGAUACUGGUCAGCUAGAGUCUUGUAGAGGGGGGUAGAAUUCCAUGUGUAGCGGUGAAAUGCGUAGAGAUGUGGAGGAAUACCGGUGGCGAAGGCGGCCCCCUGGACAAAGACUGACGCUCAGGUGCGAAAGCGUGGGGAGCAAACAGG
rnacentral:rRNA from 1 species